UACGUAGGGUGCAAGCGUUAAUCGGAAUUACUGGGCGUAAAGCGUGCGCAGGCGGUUUUGUAAGUCUGACGUGAAAUCCCCGGGCUCAACCUGGGAAUUGCGUUGGAGACUGCAAGGCUAGAAUCUGGCAGAGGGGGGUAGAAUUCCACGUGUAGCAGUGAAAUGCGUAGAAAUGUGGAGGAACACCGAUGGCGAAGGCAGCCCCCUGGGUCAAGAUUGACGCUCAUGCACGAAAGCGUGGGGAGCAAACAGG
rnacentral:rRNA from 1 species